rnacentral:rRNA from 1 species
AGUGAACGCUGGCGGUAGGCCUAACACAUGCAAGUCGAACGGCAGCACAGGAGAGCUUGCUCUCUGGGUGGCGGGUGGCGGACGGGUGAGGAAUACAUCGGAAUCUACUUUUUCGUGGGGGAUAACGUAGGGAAACUUACGCUAAUACCGCAUACGACCUACGGGUGAAAGCAGGGGAUCUUCGGACCUUGCGCGAUUGAAUGAGCCGAUGUCGGAUUAGCUAGUUGGCGGGGUAAAGGCCCACCAAGGCGACGAUCCGUAGCUGGUCUGAGAGGAUGAUCAGCCACACUGGAACUGAGAAACGGUCCAGACUCCUACGGGAGGCAGCAGUGGGGAGUAUUGGACAAUGGGCGCAAGCCUGAUCCAGCCAUACCGCGUGGGUGAAGAAGGCCUUCGGGUUGUAAAGCCCUUUUGUUGGGAAAGAAAUCCAGCUGGCUAAUACCCGGUUGGGAUGACGGUACCCAAAGAAUAAGCACCGGCUAACUUCGUGCCAGCCGCCGCCGUAA